UUGCUUGUUUCAGCAGCAUAUAUAUUAAAAUUGGAUUGAUACAGAGAAGGUUAGGAGGCCCCUGUGAGAGGAUGAUAUGCAAAUUUGUGAAGUUUCUUGUUUAA
ensembl:snRNA U6 U6 spliceosomal RNA